rnacentral:tRNA from 1 species
CGUGGGGUAGUGUAAUGGAAACAUGCAAGGCUCAUAACCUUGAGAAGCAGUAAUACUGUGUUGGUGGUUCGAGUCCACCCUCCGCAA